CAGCACUGAGGGGGAAACACCAUGAUAUGUUGAGGACAGCUACAGUUCACUGACUCUGUGUGUUUGCAUAUGUGUCCUUCCUCUCUGCUCCCAGCCGUUAAGAGGCCAGUGUUGAUCAGUGGCUGUCCAGGCCUUUCAGAGCCACUGACACGCCGGCAGCACAAUGAUAAUGUCACUGACUCUACUGCUGGCCACCCUGGGGCUCCUUGUUCAGGAUUCAUCAGGAGAAAUCAUUGUGACUCAGUCUCCUAAAGCUCAGUCUGUUGUUCCAGGACAGACUGUCUCUAUCAGAUGUAACGUUAGUCCAAGCACUAGUUACUGCUUCAACUGGUACCUUCAGAAACCUGGAGAAUCUCCUAAACUCCUCAUUUACUGUGGUUCAACCCGUCAGUCUGGAGUUUCAGAUCGUUUCAGUGGGAGCGGAUCUGGUAGUGAUUACACUCUGACCAUCAGUGGAGUCCAGACUGAAGAUGCAGCAGUUUACUACUGUCAGGGUGAAUUCUAUAUCAACAGUCAGUAUGUGUUCAAACAGUGAUACAACGUCGUACAAAAACCUCCCUCAGCUGGAGAGGAACUGAUCUCAAUCAACAUUGUUUAACUUUCAACAAAAAAAUAUUUUUCAUAUUUUUCUUCAA